GGCACUACAAGUGACAUGCCAAUGGGCAGCCUCUCAACUCGGGAGAUACAGUGUGGAAGAUCUUAUUGAAACCACCUUUGCAAAAAUUAUAACUGAGAAAACUAUGACAAUGAAAGAGAUCUACCUGAUUCCAUCUUGCUUCUAACCUCUACGCUCUCCUAAUUUAUACCUGGGUUUAAGCAGAACUAUUUUUUGGAGGAACUUAGUUUAUAGUUUAACUUUGGAACGAAGAUGAUCACAGCCUCAUCCCAAAACAAACUCCCUUCCUGCCUGGAGGCUAGAUUGCCUUUGUGGGACUAACAAAUUAGCUACAAGAUUAGAGAUUAUGAUUUAGGAGUCAUGCAUCUGGAGGCUACAAGAUGCUGAACCUCCCCAAAUUGCUUCUGGGGAUAACAUUACUUUUGUAAAACCUGAGAUCAGUGCUUGAGAUAUUUUACAGACACUGUACUUGAUGGCUUAUUUGGUCUUGUGGCCCCCACCCAGGAACUGACUCAGUGCAAGAGGACAGCUGGGACUCCCAGUGAUUUCAUCUCUCACCGCACCAGUCAGCACUCCCCACUGUCCAACCCCUGCCACCAAAUUAUCCUUGAAAACCUCGAUCCCCAGGUUUUCAGGGAGACUGAUUUGCGUAAUAAUAAAACUCUGGUCUCCUGCACAGCCGGCUCUGUAUGAAUUAAACUCUUUAUUACAAUUCUCCUGUCUUGAUAAAUCGGCUCUGUUUAGGCAGAGGGCAAGGAAAACCCCUUGGGCAGUUACGUUAUCUCUUUUCUUCUUAGAACGUAAGUCUCCAUUGUAUUGAAAGGUCAUUAAGAUCUGUUUAAAUAACUCAUAUGUGAAAUAUGACAAGAAUUCUAUACUAAUAUAAUGUUAUCCAGUAAUAUUUACAGCAAAGUUACUAUUUAUGCAGUGUUUUGC
rnacentral:lncRNA from 1 species